CUGGGAUACCACUUGGAAACAGGUGCUAAUACCGGAUAACAACAAUAGCUGCAUGGCUAUUGCUUAAAAGGCGGCGAAAGCUGUCGCUAAAGGAUGGACCCGCGGUGCAUUAGCUAGUUGGUAAGGUAAUGGCUUACCAAGGCGACGAUGCAUAGCCGAGUUGAGAGACUGAUCGGCCACAUUGGGACUGAGACACGGCCCAAACUCCUACGGGAGGCAGCAGUAGGGAAUCUUCCACAAUGGGCGAAAGCCUGAUGGAGCAACGCCGCGUGAGUGAAGAAGGUUUUCGGAUCGUAAAGCUCUGUUGUUGGUGAAGAAGGAUAGAGGUAGUAACUGGCCCCUAUUUGACGGUAAUCAACCAGAAAGUCACGGCUAACUACGUGCCAGCAGCCGCGGUAAUACGUAGGUGGCAAGCGUUGUCCGGAUUUAUUGGGCGUAAAGCGAGCGCAGGCGGAAAGAUAAGUCUGAUGUGAAAGCCCCCGGCUUAACCGAGGAAUUGCAUCGGAAACUGUGUUUCUUGAGUGCAGAAGAGGAGAGUGGAACUCCAUGUGUAGCGGUGGAAUGCGUAGAUAUAUGGAAGAACACCAGUGGCGAAGGCGGCUCUCUGGUCUGUAACUGACGCUGAGGCUCGAAAGCAUGGGUAGCGAACAGGAUUAGAUACCCUGGUAGUCCAUGCCGUAAACGAUG
rnacentral:rRNA from 1 species